GUGCUCGCUUCAGCAGCACAUAUACUAAAAUUGGAACGAUACAGAGAAGAUUAACAUGGCCCCUGCACAAGGAUGACACACAAAUUCGUGGUGUUCCAUAUUAAA
rnacentral:snRNA from 3 species